UGGGGAAUAUUGGACAAUGGGGGAAACCCUGAUCCAGCCAUGCCGCGUGAGUGAUGAAGGCCCUAGGGUUGUAAAGCUCUUUUGUGCGGGAAGAUAAUGACGGUACCGCAAGAAUAAGCCCCGGCUAACUUCGUGCCAGCAGCCGCGGUAAUACGAAGGGGGCUAGCGUUGCUCGGAAUCACUGGGCGUAAAGGGUGCGUAGGCGGAUCUUUAAGUCAGAGGUGAAAGCCUGGAGCUCAACUCCAGAACUGCCUUUGAUACUGGGGAUCUUGAGUUCGGGAGAGGUGAGUGGAACUGCGAGUGUAGAGGUGAAAUUCGUAGAUAUUCGCAAGAACACCAGUGGCGAAGGCCGCUCACUGGCCCGAUACUGACGCUGAGGCACGAAAGCGUG
rnacentral:rRNA from 1 species